AGCAGGUAAUGUUUUGAGUGUGCUCUGGUACCAGGUGUUAUGUUAAGUGCUUUUUCUGAAUAUGCCAUUUAUUCCUCACAACUAGGAGGAAUACACUUGAAGAUGGAACCAAGUAUAACCCCACCCCCGUGUUAUGGCUGGAGGGCUGCAGCCCACAGAGGACGUGGCAGAGAGGGCUUCCCUGGACCUCUCUGCACUCUCAGCCCCCUGGACCUUCCUGCUGAGGUGGACUCUGUUGGAGAAGAACAUGGAUCUGAUAAUCUCAUUCCUGCCAAGAUCACAGACGGUCUUCCAAGCUGAGGCCAUGUGAGGACACAAACAGAAGGUAGCCAUCUGCAAGCCAGGAAGAGGGCCCUUACCAAAACCCGACCGUGCUGGCACCCUGCUCUCAGACUUCUAGCCUCCAGAGCUGUGAGGAAGAAAUGUCUGUUGUUUAAACCACUCACUCCAUGGUAUUUUGUUAUGUCAGCCCAAGCUGACUAAGGCAUUGAUCAAAUGAGGAAAGCAGAUGCAAAG